rnacentral:rRNA from 1 species
UACAGAGGUGCCGAGCGUUAGGCGGAAUCACUGGGCUUAAAGCGUGUGUAGGCGGAUGCCUAAGUACCUUGUGAAAUCCCACGGCUUAACCGUGGAACUGCUCGGUAUACUGGGUGUCUUGAGCCACUUAGGGGCUACCGGAACAAAUGGUGGAGCGGUGAAAUGCGUAGAUAUCAUUUGGAACGCCAAUGGUGAAAACAGGUAGCUGGGAGUGUGCUGACGCUGAGACACGAAAGCCAGGGGAGCGAACGGG